CGCCAGACUCCUACGGGAGGCAGCAGUGAGGAAUAUUGGUCAAUGGUCGGGAGACUGAACCAGCCAAGCCGCGUGAGGGAUGAAGGUACAGAGUAUCGUAAACCUCUUUUGUCAGGGAACAAAGGCGGGGACGUGUCCCCGGAUGAGUGUACCUGAAGAAAAAGCAUCGGCUAACUCCGUGCCAGCAGCCGCGGUAAUACGGAGGAUGCGAGCGUUAUCCGGAUUUAUUGGGUUUAAAGGGUGCGCAGGCGGACUGUCAAGUCAGUCGUGAAAUACCGGGGCUUAACCCCGGGGCUGCGAUUGAAACUGACAGCCUUGAGUAUCGGAGAGGAAAGCGGAAUUCCUAGUGUAGCGGUGAAAUGCGUAGAUAUUAGGAGGAACACCAGUGGCGAAGGCGGCUUUCUGGACGACAACUGACGCUGAGGCGCGAAAGUGUGGGGAGCAAACAGGAUUAGAUACCCCAGUAA
rnacentral:rRNA from 1 species